AAAAUGAUAUUUUUUUCGGUGAGUGGCUCAGAUUGAACGCUGGCGGCAGGCCUAACACAUGCAAGUCGAGCGGAUGAAGGGAGCUUGCUCCUGGAUUCAGCGGCGGACGGGUGAGUAAUGCCUAGGAAUCUGCCUGGUAGUGGGGGAUAACGUCCGGAAACGGGCGCUAAUACCGCAUACGUCCUGAGGGAGAAAGUGGGGGAUCUUCGGACCUCACGCUAUCAGAUGAGCCUAGGUCGGAUUAGCUAGUUGGUGGGGUAAAGGCCUACCAAGGCGACGAUCCGUAACUGGUCUGAGAGGAUGAUCAGUCACACUGGAACUGAGACACGGUCCAGACUCCUACGGGAGGCAGCAGUGGGGAAUAUUGGACAAUGGGCGAAAGCCUGAUCCAGCCAUGCCGCGUGUGUGAAGAAGGUCUUCGGAUUGUAAAGCACUUUAAGUUGGGAGGAAGGGCAGUAAGUUAAUACCUUGCUGUUUUGACGUUACCAACAGAAUAAGCACCGGCUAACUUCGUGCCAGCAGCCGCGGUAAUACGAAGGGUGCAAGCGUUAAUCGGAAUUACUGGGCGUAAAGCGCGCGUAGGUGGUUCAGCAAGUUGGAUGUGAAAUCCCCGGGCUCAACCUGGGAACUGCAUCCAAAACUACUGAGCUAGAGUACGGUAGAGGGUGGUGGAAUUUCCUGUGUAGCGGUGAAAUGCGUAGAUAUAGGAAGGAACACCAGUGGCGAAGGCGACCACCUGGACUGAUACUGACACUGAGGUGCGAAAGCUUGACCACCCU
rnacentral:rRNA from 1 species